rnacentral:misc_RNA from 1 species
GUGAAUCAUCAAAUUUUUGAACGCAAAUUGCACUCUCUUCUUAUAGUAUGCCUGUUUGCUGGUCAGCCUAAAAUAUAAUCGACAUUCUCGCUUUUUCGCGUUGUCAUUCGUCGGAAUUUGGGUCUUCUCAAGCUUUUGGUUUUUAACCGGCUUAAAUUUUUCUUUCCGUUUCCACGAACGUUUCUAAGAUUUUCUUCUUAUACCUUUACGUUAUCGUUCUUUAUUAGGCGUCCCCGUUGC